GGAGCGGUGUCCGAGUGGUUGAAGGAGACGGUCUUGAAAAUCGUUGAGCCGCAAGGCUCCGGGGGUUCGAAUCCCCCCUGCUCCG
rnacentral:tRNA from 1 species